rnacentral:lncRNA from 1 species
CCAAAGGCUUGCAGUGCAUCUCGCUACCGCGCUGCAGGGACCUUUCCAGGGCAAGGACUUGGGGGAGCAACGCGUGUCUGGCUGCCCCCGCCCAGUUGCAGAGUUGGACGAAGAGGGGAUUCUGCUGUUCGCAAGGUUGAAUUCCGCAUCUAACCGAGCUCAGAGAAGUCAGGAAAGAAUCCACUUUGACAUAUGGCCCUCUGGCUCUUCAAAGCAGUGUUUGUUCAUGGUCCAUGCUGGCGAGGUCCUUAAGAACACAGAAGUCCAUGUCAGCAGAUAACCAGCCUACCGGAGGCCAAGAGGCGUUCUGGAUGGAUGGCAGCUGGAAGCCCUUCGCCAUAGCCCGCUCUUCUUCAACACUUAAGCAUUUACCUGGGCAUUAAGUAAUGAAAAUUUUGAAACCAUAUAUGAGGAAUACAUCCAUCUUGUACUACCUGUGUUUCCUUCUCAACAGUCACUUCUUAACUGAGGCUGGCAUCCAUGUCUUCAUUUUGGGCUGUGUCAGUGUAGGUCUCCCUAAAACAGAGGCCAACUGGAUAGAUGUAAGAUACGAUCUGGAGAAAAUUGAAAGUCUUAUUCAAUUUAUUCAUAUUGAUACUACUCUAUACACUGACAGUGACUUUCAUCCCAGUUGCAAAGUUACUGCAAUGAACUGCUUUCUCCUGGAAUUACAGGUUAUUUUGCACGAGUACAGUAACAUGACUCUUAAUGAAACAGUAAGAAACGUGCUCUACCUUGCAAACAGCACUCUGUCUUCUAACAAGAAUGUAAUAGAGUCUGGCUGCAAGGAAUGUGAGGAGCUGGAGGAGAGAAACUUCACGGAGUUUUUGCAGAGUUUUAUACAUAUUGUCCAAAUGUUCAUCAACACGUCCUGACUGCACUCGAACCUCGUCAGUGUUUCUGUUAUUAAGACACCUCCGCCUGCUGCCCAGAGGCAGCACAGCUCCAUGCAUUCGUGAUCUGCUGGGAAACCAAGCUGCCUAACAGGAAACGGUUGAGCCAUUUGGAUCCCAUGAACCCUCGGGAAUGAAGAGAGGGAAAGGGCUUUUCUCGGACUUAUUUUUGCUUGCUUAUUUUUAAUUUAUUACUUCAGUUGUGCAUAUUUGUAAUAUAACAGAAGAUGUGGAAUAAAGUUGUAUGCAUAUUUUA